UACGUAGGGAGCAAGCGUUGUCCGGAAUCAUUGGGCGUAAAGCGCGCGUAGGUGGCCCCGUAAGUCCGCUGUGAAAGUCAAAGGCUCAACCUUUGAAAGCCGGUGGAUACUGUGGGACUAGAGUACGGAAGAGGCGAGUGGAAUUCCUGGUGUAGCGGUGGAAUGCGCAGAUAUCAGGAGGAACACCAAUAGCGAAGGCGACACUCUGGGCCGGUACUGACGCUGAAGAGCGAAAGCGUGGGGAGCAAACAGG
rnacentral:rRNA from 1 species